CACCCAAACAGGCAGAGAAUUUUCCAUGAUCUUCUACUGUAAUUCUAGCUUCUCCCCAGUCCAACAUUUAGAAAGAGCAAGUUACCCUUAGAGGUCCCGGGUAAGGCUCAGUCACCUUCUGGAAACAGGCUGUUUAUCCUUUGAAUGACUGAAUGCACUUCUGAGGCUUUGAGUCUGGCAUGAGGGUAAGAACAUUGUAAGUGCUGGAGGACCGAGGUGAAUAUUUCUAAAACAUAAAAUUUUCAUACAGUUCAAAAAAAUCCAAAAACAGGCUCACUGAAGAAAGGCUCUUC
rnacentral:lncRNA from 1 species